CUACGUGCCAGCAGCCGCGGUAAUACGUAGGGGGCAAGCGUUAUCCGGAUUCAUUGGGCGUAAAGCGCUCGUAGGCGGUCUGUUAGGUCGGGAGUUAAAUCCGGGGGCUCAACCCCCGUUCGCUCCCGAUACCGGCAGACUUGAGUUUGGUAGGGGAAGGUGGAAUUCCUAGUGUAGCGGUGGAAUGCGCAGAUAUUAGGAAGAACACCAGUGGCGAAGGCGGCCUUCUGGGCCAUAACUGACGCUGAGGAGCGAAAGCUAGGGGAGCAAACAGGAUUAGAUACCCUGGUAGUCCUAGCCGUAAACGAUGGACACUAGGUGUGGGGGAAUAUUUCUUCCGUGCCGCAGCUAACGCAUUAAGUGUCCCGCCUGGGGAGUACGGCCGCAAGGCUAAAACUCAAAGGAAUUGACGGGGGCCCGCACAAGCAGCGGAGCAUGUGGUUUAAUUCGAAGCAACGCGAAGAACCUUACCAGGGCUUGACAUCCAGAGAACAUUC
rnacentral:rRNA from 1 species